ACAUAUUAUACCAAGAGAAUGAAUUAUGUGAGGAGAAGGAUAUGUAGAUCUCUUCAUGUUCUUGUCUCCAUAAAUACUGGUUUGCGGAUUUAUCUAAUCUUGUUGAUGGAUUUAUUUCUUGAUGAGUUUUAAGCGAUAUUGGCUCCGCUGCACCUAUAAAUGUUAUUAAUUAUUUUAAAUCAAUUUUUUUUUUAAAUCUGAUAAAACUUGCAAGAUCUCCAUUUUUAUUCUUAAGUUAAAGUUGACUUUUAUUGAACUUUCAAAUAUAUUUAUCCUAAAAAAGUCAAAAAUCGAAAAAGAUUCAAAAACUGUUGUUACAACAUGACUGGUUUUGAAUUUUUCAUCUUCUGUCAGGGACAACCGUUUACAAAGUGUACAAAAAUAAAUGUUUAAAAUAAACAAAUUUAAAAAUAUUUACUUUACUUAUACUCUUCAAUUGUCAAAUUUAGAACCUAAACCUAUUGAUACUGUAUCUGUAUAUUCAGAGCUGCAGGAGCUUUAGAAUAAUGGUGGAUAUUGAAAUCAAUGCUUGAUCCUUUCUUUUUGUUGAAGCUAAGAGGUCCCUGUUCUCCUCUAUCCAAUCCUCCUGCCCUACCUAAAUCAUCCACCACCAGCACACCGUCAAUACCGUAUCUAUAGUUUUACUUUCUUUUAUUAUCGAGCAACUGGUGAGCUGAAAUGAAAACAGCUACAGCAAUAGCAGUUCUCCAGACGCAGAACAUUAAUCAGUUGACAAUUAAUCUACCACUUGUAAUAAUGAUUUAUCAAUGUUUCUGCGUUAAUAAAUAAUAUUUGAUUUGA